AUCCCAGUCACCCUGUGGGUGGGGCUGUGCUGUGCUUGAAAUCGAACAGUACAAACCAUGCUAGGCACAAGGAAGGAGGCCUUGAGAUGACCUUUUAAGAAGGAUGGAAACUUGAAAGAGGUUGUCAGGACUAGGACUACAGCUAACAGAGAAUCUGUUAUUGCUCCAGGGUGGAGCCAAUACCUUGGGAUCCACAAGUUCCAAGAUAAAGGUUUAGCUGGGAGGGGUUCUCACAAAGAAGAAAAACAUCACGCUCAGGUUGGCCGCCCUGAUGUAGACCAUGGAAACUGCUUGACUAAUGGGAUCAGACCCCGUGUCACAAGCAAAAGAUCUUUCCAGCAGGCUAGAAGAAACUAUAAAAGAGUGGAAGUGACAUGACUUGGCCUCAUUUUCCCCCUCUUCUCCCCCCCCCAACUGAGCACCUGGAAACCAGUCUGGAAGACAAAGACUUUGAACUAGGGAGGUGGUCCCAGACUGGAAGGCAGUUCCAGCCGGUUUAUUGAAGAUUUGUGGCCUGUUUGUACCAUCUAUCAGGGUGUCACACUGCUUGAUUCAAAUCCUGUAUAGAACUGACUGAAAAUUUACUUUUAUUUCUUAGGUAAUCAACUGAUCUCUGUGCUUACUUCUUAUAAUCACUUGAAAUCUUUCUGUAGUUAAUAUCUGUUUUAUAUUUUACUUAAAACUUUGUGGUUUUGUUUGAAACGCUUAUGAAAUCUCAGCUCAAUUUAUAAAGGCUAGUGUGUGUCCUCUACAUAUUGAGCUGGGGAGGGGGGUGAGGGGACAGACUGAGUAAUGAGCUUACACUGGUCAGGCUUUUGACCGGUGCAAGAUGGUAGGGUUCUGGGGUGAAAAGCUGGGGAGCUGGGAGGAAUUGUCUGGGGCCUAUUGUUGGUUCAUGAGUGGCUGGCAAAGCAUUCAUGGAACUCAGUUGGAUGUGUCCCUGCCUGUGGAUAACUGUGUAAGUGCAGCACCUGUCAGAAGUUUGUAGCUUCACAACAGCAUCACAGAAUGAGAGGGAUACUCCAUGUUGGUGGGGCAGAGGGCUCAGCAGUCCCACAGUCCAGGCUGCACCCCAGAAACCUGUCACAAUAACCAUUAAAACAUUUUGAUUUACAACUAGAGAGAGACUUUACUCUAGAUUUGCUACAUCUUUUUAUCUUAAAUGUUUUGGAUAUAUAAACUUCUCAUCAAAAUAUGUUUCACAUCUACAUAUUAUUUAUUAAAGGAACAGAGCAAAUAACAA